ACCUCGAUGUCGGCUCAUCGCAUCCUGGGGCUGUAGUCGGUCCCAAGGGUUGGGCUGUUCGCCCAUUAAAGCGGUACGCGAGCUGGGUUCAGAACGUCGUGAGACAGUUCGGUCCCUAUCCGUCGCGGGCGCAGGAAAUUUGAGAGGAGCUGUCCUUAGUACGAGAGGACCGGGAUGGACGUUCCGCUGGUGUACCAGUUGUGCCGCCAGGCGCAUCGCUGGGUAGCUAUGAACGGCAGGGAUAAACGCUGAAAGCAUCUAAGUGUGAAGCCCCCCUCGAGAUGAGAUUUCCCAUUCCUAUAUGGAAGUAAGACCCCUGAGAGAUGAUCAGGUAGAUAGGCUGGAAGUGGAAGUGCAGCGAUGCAUGGAGCGGACCAGUACUAAUCGGUCGAGGACUUAACCAA
rnacentral:rRNA from 2 species